rnacentral:rRNA from 1 species
GUAGGGUGCGAGCGUUAUCCGGAAUCAUCGGGCGUAAAGAGCUCGUAGGCGGUUCAGCAAGUCGGCUGUGAAAUUCCGAGGCUCAACCUCGGAACUGCAGUCGAUACUGUUGUGACUCGAGUCCGGUAGAGGAGAAUGGAAUUCCCGGUGUAGCGGUGAAAUGCGCAGAUAUCGGGAGGAACACCAGUAGCGAAGGCGGUUCUCUGGGCCGGCACUGACGCUGAGGAGCGAAAGCGUGGGGGUAGCAAACAGGAUUAGAUACCCUGGUAGUCCACGCCCGUAAACGUUGGAUACUAGGUGUGGGGUUCCGACCAACGGUCCCCGUGCCGAAGCUAACGCAUUAAGUAUCCCCGCCUGGGGAUACGGCCGCAAGGCUA